GAUGAACGCUGGCGGCGUGCUUAACACAUGCAAGUCGAACGGUGAAAGCGGAGCUUGCUCUGCUGGAUCAGUGGCGAACGGGUGAGUAACACGUGAGCAAUCUGCCCCUGACUCUGGGAUAAGCGCUGGAAACGGCGUCUAAUACCGGAUACGAGCUGCGAAGGCAUCUUCAGCAGCUGGAAAGAACUUCGGUCAGGGAUGAGCUCGCGGCCUAUCAGCUAGUUGGUGAGGUAACGGCUCACCAAGGCGUCGACGGGUAGCCGGCCUGAGAGGGUGACCGGCCACACUGGGACUGAGACACGGCCCAGACUCCUACGGGAGGCAGCAGUGGGGAAUAUUGCACAAUGGGCGGAAGCCUGAUGCAGCAACGCCGCGUGAGGGAUGACGGCCUUCGGGUUGUAAACCUCUUUUAGCAGGGAAGAAGCGAGAGUGACGGUACCUGCAGAAAAAGCACCGGCUAACUACGUGCCAGCCGCCGCGGUAA
rnacentral:rRNA from 1 species